CGGACGGGUGAGUAACACGUGAGCAACCUGCCUUUCAGAGGGGGAUAACAGCCGGAAACGGCUGCUAAUACCGCAUGAUGUUGCGGGGGCACAUGCCCCUGCAACCAAAGGAGCAAUCCGCUGAAAGAUGGGCUCGCGUCCGAUUAGCCAGUUGGCGGGGUAACGGCCCACCAAAGCGACGAUCGGUAGCCGGACUGAGAGGUUGAACGGCCACAUUGGGACUGAGACACGGCCCAG
rnacentral:rRNA from 1 species